rnacentral:lncRNA from 1 species
UGUUAUCUCGAUUUUGGGGUAUCAAGUCAUUAAUUAGGCUUGAACCUUUCAAUCUUUGAUAUUCUCUAUUUUUUCUUGGGAAGGGUAAAAUUGAGAAAACCUUAGAAACUCUAAGUUCGGGGGUCGUUUUCGUUACGGGAAGGUGUUAAGCACCCGUAACGACUAUAGUAUUCUAUAGGAACCGCUUUCCUAGCUUUAUGUCUACG